UUGUGAACGGCACCUGGGCCCACAGCUCCGCGCUCAGCUUCACGCCCGGCCCGGGGGACCACAGCAAAGAGCUCGUCUGCACCGUCACCUAAAGGCCACCCUGGGGACGGUCCUCCCGCAGAACCGUCCAGCUCCAUGUCAUCUUGCGUCCUGCUCUCCCCAGACAUCCCCAAGCUGGGGACCGGGCUGAACUCGUCCUGCCAGCACCAGGGGCCCUGCGUCAGCUACAGUUGCUCCCUGAGCCCCCAGCCCCCUCCCCAGCUUCACUGGCAGGUUACAGGGAGCCCUUGGCUGGGAACGGCUCUGGGGGGCCCUGCAGGUCAGCUCGUGGUCCCAGGGGGACGAGGCCGUCAGCACCCUGAGCUGGAUGGGGAGUGGGGACAGAGACCCGGAUCUUCUGCCUCUGCUCCAACAUCCACAGGACGUUCGCUGUACAGUACUGCUGAGCCCACCGGAAACCUCCCACAGGUGGCCUCACUCGGGCAUUAAUCGAAAUCAGCUGCAAACUUGUCUUCAUGGUGACUGGAUUCUUCCUGGCCUAUUACCUCACCCUGCUCUAUUACAGACGGACACUCUGCUGUUCUCGUGGAAGCAGAAGGAAGGACAGGCCGGGAGCCAGGGAAUCCACGGUGCCCGAGUCUGGCAUGUAGAUCGGGACGUUCCUCAGCCACUGAAGAGCUGACAAAGAACUGGAAUCUCAGGGGACUGAGGAGACAGAGAAUGAGUCCUCAGCUCAGGGAACUGCCACCCUGAGUGAGGCCAACCGGCCAAUCUAGCCUGAUAUCCUGCCCCCUCCCUACCGCUCCAGGUCAGCCCCAUCAUGGGUCCAUCUAGCCUGGUAUCCUGCCCCCUCCCUGCCUCUCUGAAUCAUACCCAUGGGCCUGAGAAGCAGAUGGAAGCUGCUUGUAAUGUUUAUAUGACCACUAGAUGUUCUGUUUAUUGCCUUGAUGAUUAUGACUCUGUUUGCUCUGUGGUGACCGCCCGGCACCCAGAUACCCCGGUGACAAACACAUUAUGAGACCCUCUAGAGAACAGAGCAGAGCAGAUGAUGAUAGUUACUGAUCCCUGCAAGAAAGUGCCCAACCCAGCAGCUCUGACGGCCAUUCCCAGCCAGCGCGGGGCGCAAGUUUCACUUACAAACUAUUUUUUGGGUGCAAAAUGCAAAUUUGACAGCACCAAAACUUUGUGUAAAUCUGGGUCGAUUUUGCCAAUUCGUUUGUUUGGGGAAAAGAACCUCCCGAAAUUUCCCAAAAAUGAAAGUUUUCAUUUAGUCAUUUUCAAACAGAAACGUUUCACUUUCUCGAUUCAAACGCACUGUAUGGUUUGAAAUUUCCUGUAUUUUACUUUGUAGUUAAAAACAUCUAAAAUGCUAGAAAUCGAAACAAAAUGAUUCAUCCUCAAACCAAAUCUAUUUCUGACCUUCUAGUUUGCUGAACAUUUUGACCAAUUUUCAUUUUUGGUUUUACAUGAAAAGAUUUUUUACCCCUGACUUUGGGUUCCCUCAAAAUUUAUCAGAUUAUGCUUUUCAGAUUGACCCCCAAGUAUUUUUUUCAAAUGUUUGGUUCGCCAAAAACGUCAACAAUUUUUCUUUUUGUUUCGACCCAAACAGUUUUCGAUUUGCUAAAAUUUGUGACCAAUUUCUGUUUCAAGCCACAAGCCAGGUGGGGAAUGGGGCACUGGGUCUUUUCCCUCUCGUGGGUGAUGGCUUGGAUCCAGCUCCAGGGUGGGGGACUAGCUGGCUUAGGUGGUAGAGGUGGGUUACCAGUGAUGAUGAGUGCAGGCUGUGUUGCUCGGUAGCUGUGCUGAACAAUUUCCCCUUGGUGAUGUGCAGAUAAUAGCAGCCCUUGUCCCUGCCUCACAUGUUCUCGAUGCCCAAGGAGCAGCCCCCGUUCUCCAGGUACCCCCGCAUCCAGAAGUGGCCCUGCACCUCCCCCAACACCUCUCUGCAGAGGGUGUUGGUAGCAACGGGUUUCCCCCAGAACACGUCCACUUGCUCCAUGAACCAAGGCCCACAAAUCCCUACAUCCAAUCCAGGCCAUUUCAGUGGCCUGAAUGUGCAGGGGAUGAUGAAGCAGAGACUCACCCAGGCUCACACCAAUUCUGGGACCCUCAGGCCCAGGUCUGGGCUCUGGGCAAAGAAGCCUGCAUAGGAGAGAUGGGAUGGGAGGAACACGCUGUUCUUGAUGGAGCCACCAGAUGGCACAGUUACACAAAGCCAGACAUAGUGUGUGAGCAAGUGUUAAGUCUUUGGAGGAAUGCUGGAUUGAUUGUGUUCAGUAUUUGUAUGUAGAUAUAUACCGUGCGGUGACUCUCCGCCAGCAUAACACAGAAGGUUUAUUGAAUGUCUGAACCCAGCACAGCCAGUUCUCAGGGCCCUCAAACGUAGCCAAUCUCAGCACUGUCCAGCUGGGUCUGUCCCCAUCCAGAUAGCUCAGUUCAGAAGCGACCUCCUUCCACCAGCCCCUCCUCUACCCUUUGUGUAUGUCCCUGGGCAAACAGGUCACCUGGGCACCAUCUCUUGCAUCCUUUGUUCCUGAACUGACCAGAACCGGCUGCCUUAUGGGCUCCUCUCUCUUCCACUCUUUGUCCUCCUAGGGGCUGUCGGGGUUCCCUCCCUACUCUGAAUUCUUGGGUACAGAUGUGAGGACAAGUAUGAAAGACUCCUUAAGAUUAUUUUUACCAGCUUAGGUUAAGA